UUGCUAAUUCUUUCUGAACAGUUCUGUUCUACUCUUUCUCUUCUACUCAAAGCGAAGAAAGCUGGGCAAUGUAUUCAGUAGAAAACCAUUUAAGGUGCUCAAUCUUUCAAACUAUCUUAAAUAACAGACUCUUAUACGGGAGUAAAACUAAGAUAUGUUUUAUAUUUCAAAGUAUUUGAAUUCUUCAUAAGCAUUUGACCAGCCUGAUUUUAUAUUUUAGUGCGACGUUUCAAUUUUGCGGAUUUGAACAUAGAUUUUACUUUAUUUAUUCAAAAUGUAGCAAUGUAUGAGAUGAUGUUGAAGAAUAUAUUUAUUUUCCGAGAUUGUCUAUAUGGUUUUUGACUGAAACCCCCUAAAAUAUUACAAAUUCUAGAGCAUUGGAUCGCGUUGAGAUUCAUGCAACAUAACUAAGCCCCCUUCUUUUUCUCUCUUUAUUUUCCUCGGUCCGCAUGCCACCGCUGCUUUCAUGCGCACGCGCACGCGGAGCCUCCACCUCCUGCUCCGUCAUCACCCUAUCGCGCCGCCGCCUGGCUAGAAGGGGUCAACGAGGCCGGCGAGAGGGUGGCACCGAGUCCCCCGUCCCUCCGUCUUUCUCACCUCCGGUGGCUCGCCGUAGCUAGAUCCGCCACCACCGGCCGCCGCCUCCUAAUCAGUUUCGUUGUUUUCCUCCGUUGCCAACGCCACCCACCGCCUAUUGCCAACCCUACUGAUGAGUUGAUAGGAAGGUAAUUUUAUAUCUUUGCUAGCAUGCAUUUGAUAGAAAAAUCACACGACCUUCAAAGUGUCAUUAAAAAAAAGUGGAUGCCUUGUGCUAGACAUAGGCGUAUAGCCAUAUUUACCUUCCUUUUUUUUUUAAUUUACCAAACAUAUUGUAUAUUCCAUGCUGCCGACUGAUGUUCAAAAAUUAAGUAAUUUUAGUCAGAACAUCUACAAUGUCAGCAAAAUGAGUUCUGUUACAGUCUUGAACACAGUGCAAUCCAAUAUACCAAGCUUGACUGCAGUAGACCAGUAGUGGCUGAUCACCAAAAUUGGCAGCAAAGUAGGUUUUGAAGUUGACGUGAGUGCAAGGCUGCAAAAAUGUCUCAAAGAAAGCACGUCAAGAUGCAAUGAUGCAGCAUGUAUAUUCUUCAACCAUGUUAAGAGGCAUAUAUCAUGGCACCAGCACCCCCAAACACCGAAAUCGCAUUCCUCGUUCUUAUCCUCUUCAUUCACCAUGCUUCGUACCUUCAUCAUUCUUGUGCCUCUGCUCUUCUCCAUACAUUCUCCGGCGUGUUCUGCUGCAACGGACACGAUUUCAGCCGGUGAAGCACUCCCGAAAGAUGAGAAGCUUGUCUCUCGCAAUGGCAGGUUCGCGCUCGGCUUCUUCCAUCCGGACACCGACAGUAAGUUCUUCCCCCGGCACACCCUCAAGCACUGGUACCUAGGCAUAUGGUUCGACAAGAUACCAGUGUUAACUCCAAUAUGGAUAGCAAACAGAGAGAACCCAAUUGUAGGCCAUCACAGAGUGACAAAACUCACAAUUGCCAGUGAUGGCAACCUUGCCAUCUUCAACCAAGCCACCAGAUCGACGGUUUGGUCGACUCAUGCCAGUAUCACAGCCAAGAAAACCAUGGUUGUCCUCCAGGAUAAUGGAAACCUCAUCUUAAGAGAUGCAUCCAACUCGUCCAACGUACUAUGGCAGAGCUUUGACUACCCUACUGAUGUCAUGCUUAUUGGUGCAAAGUUUGGCCUAGAUAAGGUGACUGGUCUGAACCGUGUUAUUGUUUCCAAGAAGAGUUUGGCUGAUCCAGCUGCUGGCCUCUAUUGCCUGGAAUUAGACCCUACUGGUGCUAACCAAUACGUCUUAGAGUUUUGCAACUCUUCCAUAGUCUAUUGGUCUACUGGGGAAUGGAAUGGCCAAUUCUUCAACUCAAUACCAGAGAUGUCAGGACGAACUCUAUUUGACUUCAAGUUCAUCAACAACAACCAAGAGAAGUACUUUGUGUUCAACUUGUUAGAAAAAGAUCUAAUAACUGUUUGCUUUUUGGACAUAUCUGGUCAGAUGAAACAGCUCCUCUGGCUUGAGAACAAGCAGGAAUGGGCAACGAUCUAUACUCUGCCUAAAGAUCUAUGUGAUAUCUAUGCUACAUGUGGACCUUUCACUGUCUGCAACAGCAAUGCACUCCAAGUGUGCGAUUGCAUUAAGGGAUUCUCAGUAAGAUCACCUAAGGAUUGGGAGUUAGAGGAUAGAGCUGGUGGAUGCAUAAGAAAUACACCAUUAGAUUGCGGCACCAAGAACCAAAGCAGAACUGCUACAACUGACAAGUUUUACUCCUUGCCCGGUAUUGGAUUGCCCACAGAAGCCAACAUCAUAGAAGCUGCUAGGACAGCUGACCAAUGUGCACUAGCUUGCCAGAAUAAUUGUUCUUGCACUGCAUAUUCCUAUGGUAACAGGUGCUCUGUAUGGUAUGAUGAUUUGCUUAAUGUAAGAGUAUAAUAAAGGUACUACUAGUGAUGGAGAAAUUCUCUACCUACGUAUUGCCGCCAAAGACGCAAGUUGGAGCCAUAAUAAAAAUGGAAAAGGAAAGAUUAUUGGUGCUGCGGUUGCUUCCAGUGUUGUUGCUUUGGGUUUGUUUUCAGCUACUGUAAUCUGGAGGUACAAAAGGAAGCAAUUUACUGCUCCUACUAAUAAUGUUCAAGGGGGAAAUGGAAUUGUGUCUUUCAAAUACAGUGUUCUGCAACAUGCAACUAAAAAUUUCUCUGAGAAAUUAGGAGAAGGCGGCUUUGGUGCUGUAUUCAAAGGGUUUCUAGGUGGCUCGACACCUAUUGCAGUAAAAAAGCUUGGUGGUGACCGUCAAGGUGAGAAGCAAUUCAGGGCUGAGGUGAGUUCCAUUGGAAUAAUCCAACACAUCAAUUUGGUUAAGCUUAUUGGAUUCUGUUCUGAUAGUGGUAGGAGGCUGCUUGUAUAUGAACACAUGCCAAAUUGCUCUCUUGACACGCACCUUUUUCAGAACCAUACUACGAUCCUAAACUGGAGUACCCGUUACCAGAUAGCCCUUGGAGCUGCUAGAGGGUUGGCAUACCUGCAUGAGAGUUGCAGGGAUUGCAUCAUACACUGUGAUAUUAAGCCAGAGAACAUACUUCUUGAUGGAUCAUUUGUGCCUAAAAUUGCAGAUUUUGGAAUGGCAAAAUUUGUUGGAAGAGAUUUCAGUAGAGUUCUUACUACAUUUAGAGGAACCAUAGGGUAUCUUGCACCAGAAUGAAUUAGUGGAGUGGCCAUUACAUCCAAGGUUGAUGUCUAUAGCUAUGGAAUGGUGUUGUUUGAAAUAAUGUCAGGUAGGAGGAACUCAUGCAAACAAGACACAAGUGAUGAUGAUCAUGCUGCAUAUUUCCCUGUGCAAGUUGCAAAUGAACUUCUCGAGGGAGAUGUCAGGAGCUUGCUAGAUAACAAACUGCUUGAUGAUGUUAACCUGGAUGAGGCUGAACGAAUAAGCAAGGUGGCCUGCUGGUGUGUCCAAGAAAAUGAGUCUAAUCGGCCGACCAUGGGCGAAGUGGUUCAAAUUCUUGAAGGUUUGUUAGAACUUGAAAUGCCACCAAUGCCAAGAUUACUUCAAGCUAUCACAGCCACAGGGAGCUCAUAUUGA